UGAGGAAUAUUGGUCAAUGGGCGCAAGCCUGAACCAGCCAUCCCGCGUGCAGGAAGACGGCCCUAUGGGUUGUAAACUGCUUUUCCAGGGGAGAAUUUUUCUGUCGUGACAGGAAUUGACGGUACCCUGGGAAUAAGCAUCGGCUAACUCCGUGCCAGCAGCCGCGGUAAUACGGAGGAUGCGAGCGUUAUCCGGAUUUAUAGGGUUUAAAGGGUGCGUAGGCGGAUUGAUAAGUCAGUGGUGAAAACCUGCAGCUUAACUGUAGACUUGCCGUUGAUACUGUCAGUCUUGAGUAUGGUCAAGGUAGGCGGAAUGUGUAAUGUAGCGGUGAAAUGCUUAGAUAUUACACAGAACACCGAUUGCGAAGGCAGCUUACUGGGCCAUUACUGACGCUGAUGCACGAAAGCGUGGGGAUCGAACAG
rnacentral:rRNA from 1 species